GACGAACGCUGGCGGCGUGCCUAAUACAUGCAAGUAGAACGCUGAAGAGAGGAGCUUGCUCUUCUUGGAUGAGUUGCGAACGGGUGAGUAACGCGUAGGUAACCUGCCUUGUAGCGGGGGAUAACUAUUGGAAACGAUAGCUAAUACCGCAUAACAAUGGAUGACACAUGUCAUUUAUUUGAAAGGGGCAAUUGCUCCACUACAAGAUGGACCUGCGUUGUAUUAGCUAGUAGGUGAGGUAACGGCUCACCUAGGCGACGAUACAUAGCCGACCUGAGAGGGUGAUCGGCCACACUGGGACUGAGACACGGCCCAGACUCCUACGGGAGGCAGCAGUAGGGAAUCUUCGGCAAUGGGGGCAACCCUGACCGAGCAACGCCGCGUGAGUGAAGAAGGUUUUCGGAUCGUAAAGCUCUGUUGUAAGUCAAGAACGAGUGUGAGAGUGGAAAGUUCACACUGUGACGGUAGCUUACCAGAAAGGGACGGCUAACUACGUGCCAGCAGCCGCGGUAAUACGUAGGUCCCGAGCGUUGUCCGGAUUUAUUGGGCGUAAAGCGAGCGCAGGCGGUUUGAUAAGUCUGAAGUUAAGGCUGUGGCUCAACCAUAGUUCGCUUUGGAAACUGUCAAACUUGAGUGCAGAAGGGGAGAGUGGAAUUCCAUGUGUAGCGGUGAAAUGCGUAGAUAUAUGGAGGAACACCGGUGGCGAAAGCGGCUCUCCGGUCUGUAACUGACGCUGAGGCUCGAAAGCGUGGGGAGCGAACAGGAUUAGAUACCCUGGUAGUCCACGCCGUAAACGAUGAGUGCUAGGUGUUGGAUCCUUUCCGGGAUUCAGCGCCGCAGCUAACGCAUUAAGCACUCCGCCUGGGGAGUACGACCGCAAGGUUGAAACUCAAAGGAAUUGACGGGGGCCCGCACAAGCGGUGGAGCAUGUGGUUUAAUUCGAAGCAACGCGAAGAACCUUACCAGGUCUUGACAUCCCGAUGCUAUUUCUAGAGAUAGAAAGUUACUUCGGUACAUCGGUGACAGGUGGUGCAUGGUUGUCGUCAGCUCGUGUCGUGAGAUGUUGGGUUAAGUCCCGCAACGAGCGCAACCCCUAUUGUUAGUUGCCAUCAUUCAGUUGGGCACUCUAGCGAGACUGCCGGUAAUAAACCGGAGGAAGGUGGGGAUGACGUCAAAUCAUCAUGCCCCUUAUGACCUGGGCUACACACGUGCUACAAUGGUUGGUACAACGAGUUGCGAGUCGGUGACGGCAAGCUAAUCUCUUAAAGCCAAUCUCAGUUCGGAUUGUAGGCUGCAACUCGCCUACAUGAAGUCGGAAUCGCUAGUAAUCGCGGAUCAGCACGCCGCGGUGAAUACGUUCCCGGGCCU
rnacentral:rRNA from 1 species